AUGUCAUAGAUGCGCCGAUGUUUAUCACACACUUCUAAGAUGCCAUCGAUAGCUGUAGUGAUCUCUGCACAAGCAACAUAAACGUUUAACAGAUGACUCACUCCCAAAGUUGUUUUGCUGUGUAUUUCGAUUUCAAGAAACGCUGCUCGUUUUCUGCACGAAAAUGUAUGAGCCUGCGUGUUUCCUCAGGAGUCCCUACAUACAAUACUGAUGAAUAAGCACACAAACUGAAUGCACUUUUUGUUUAUAUCAUGUAACGUACAUGUAUUUAUGGACGUAACCACAACAAAACAAUACAUUGAUCAGGCAUGUGGCAAAAAGACAAGUUAGCUGCCACCGGAUUUGAAUUUAUGUUGUCAAAUCAAUGCGGGUUUCAAUAAAAUAUAAAAAAAUAUGUUGUGGAACUAUCAUAAAGUAAAAAACAUUAACGAACUUUUUUCAUAGCGAUUUUAACAAAUCUUUUUUUCGGAGAACAUAACCAUAUACAUGAACACAAGAUUAAAGGCAACAUAAAACAAGUGAUUAUUUAUUACUAAAAUACUGUUUACCGUAAGAAAAUACUUACAUUUAUGGGUCUCUCUGCUCGCUCGGUCGGCCAUGUUGGAAAUUUAUCAUACCCCUUCGUCUGAAGUGUGGUCCC